UACGGGGGGGGCAAGCAUUAUUGGUCAUGACUGGGUGUAAAGGGUUCGUAGGCAGUUAUAAUUGUUAUAUUAUAAAGAAUGUAUGAAAAUGCAUGAAGUGAUAUAAAACAUUAUAAACUAGAGUUUGAAAGAGGAUAGUGGUACUCUCGAUGGAGGGUUAAAAUGUGUUGAUAUCGAUGGGGACCACCCAUGGGCGAAAGCAACUAUCUGGGUCAAGACUGACGCUGAGGAACGAAAGCAUGAGGAGCAAACAGG
rnacentral:rRNA from 1 species